GCAGGAAAGAGUUUCAUUGACACAGGCCAGCCACGACAUGUGGGAGACAGAGUUAUUACUCAAAGCAAUCUCACUGAAGGCUUGGAGGGCCCACCGGGCAGGACCACUGAGCAAGGCCUUGGAAAACCAGAGAGAUUAGAGCGAAUGGGGAAAUGGAGAGAGAACCUGAAAGAGCCCCAAACUCGAGGACCUAUUGCUCCCCAAGAAUAACAUCUUCCAGAAGAACUAGACAGAAAACUAGGCGUCUGGGAACUCUGAAAUCCUUGGAGGAGUAGCAUCAUCAUGACCCUCUGUGUUCCUUUUGGCAAAGGACUUGCUCCCAUUGUUUGCUUGUUCAAUUGUCUGUCCGUUAAAUAAAUAAAACCCUUUUCCUAUAUCUUU
rnacentral:lncRNA from 1 species